AAAUACAUGUGGUUCGCAACUCCAGCCAAAAAACAUUUCAUGCUUCCCACCAGAUUUCAUCCUUGAAUUCGCAAUGCCGAACCAACGAGACAUGGUUCUUUCUUACAGAACCAUGGAACUUCAAACUUAACCUCUCACCUUGGACAAAUCAAUAUCGAUCCCAGAUAAUUCCAUGGAAUACCCCUGUGACAAUUAACAUGGAAGGUAUUCCCCCCACAUGCCUUCAGUAAUGAAUCUUCAGGGCCUCUGCUAUUACCUUAUUGUGACAUACAAGCUUCUGCAUUUGAUCACAGCACUGGCAUAUGCACUGCAAUUACCUUUGCACAUAGCACAGACUUCAUUCCUACUGCCCAACAGCUAGGCAUAUCAUAUAACCAUCAGCACAGCACAACUACACAUGCAUUUCCAGUAGCAUUGCAAACCAGCGCCUACUAUCAAUCCGAGCACAGCAAUGAUGCAAAGUAGGCUCCAGACCCUUCCAUAUGCACUGAUGUACAUGAUUCUUCAACAAAUUACGACCCAAAGAUCUAUGAGGACCCAGACAUGGUUAGAGAAGCUUUCAAGCGUAUCGUUGAAGCUGAAAAAGAGGAUGAAGCUUCUUUGAAUCCCGCUCAGUACAACAACAGCGAAUACUACAGCAACAGCUCGGAUGACAUCAACCCUAACGACGACUACUAUACCAUAGAUUCAGACCGUGAACCAGCAGAAUGAAAGCAUAAAUACUAGGAAGUAACCGUAUCUGCCGGUAGGCGAACGACGUCUCCAAGCACAUCAAAUAAAGUAGAAAGAACCUCUCUGUUCCAUUAUGAGUAAAUAUAUUAUCCGUCAGCUCUCUUAACUAAAUUCAUUUAAUGCAAAUUAAAAAAUAUUGCCAAA